rnacentral:rRNA from 1 species
AUGAGGUUCAGCCGGAAGCUCAAAAAUACAGCAAAAGCUCUUCGAAGUUGGAGCGCCAAAUCUUAUGGAAACAUUAAGGACCAGAUUGUUUGGGCCAAAACAAUAAUUGGAUUCCUGGACCAAGCUGGGGAUUCUCGUUGUCUUAAUUUGGAGGAGACAUGGCUUCGUAGAGAGUUGAAGAAAAAGAUUCUUAGGCUAUGUUCGGUGGAGAGAACCAUGGCUCGACAACGAGCUAAACAAUUCUUUUCUUGUUUUACUGCCCAACGGCAAGGUGCCUCGGAGACCACGGAUUAUCGACCCAUAAGUCUAGUUCACAGCUUCACUAAGAUCUUCUCAAAAGUUCUUGCGAGGCACCUCGUUCCUGAGAAGGUCAAAUUGCUUGUGAGUGGAACUGCCAAAUUACUGAAGUCAAAAGGGUGCAACAGCUUCAUGCUAAAAUUGGACAUGGCUAGAGCAUUUGACUUAGUGGACUGGCCUUACGUCAUGGAUAUUUUGAGAGCCAAAGGAUUUGGGCCGAGGUGGAGGGCCUGGAUCGCCAUUAUUUUAUCUUCGGCUUCCUCGAGAAUUCUCCUUAAUGGAGCUCCGGCUACUCAUGUUGUCAAUUUAUUGAUGGCCAAAGAUGACAGCAUGAAUCUCUUACCUGCUUUCCCUCCUGACACGGUGUCUCAAAGGCUUUCGAUUUAUGCCGAUGUUGUUAUUGUUUUCCUUCGUGCUUCACCGGCCGAUGUUCAGGUGGUCUUCACUUUGUUGAAGGUGUUUAGAGGUGCCUUAGGGCUGAGCCGCAAUCUUAUCAAGAGCUCCAUAUCUCCAAUCAAUUGUGAUGAUUUCUUUGCAACUAUUUGCUGCAAUCUUGUUGGCUGCAAGCUCGCCCAUAUGUCAAUAACCUAUCUUGGCCUGCCAUUAAAUUGUCAGAAGGCAAGAAAUGAGGAUUUUCAUAGGCUUCUUGAUGUGCUAAGGGAGAGUCUGGCAUCUUGGAGGGUUGCUAUGCUAACUCAGAGUGGUCGUUUUGUGCUUAUUCGGCCAGUACUCACCUUAAUUGUCAUUUUUCAUCUCCUCUCACUUGAUACUCCUCCAUGGGUCCUGAAGGCAAUCGGCAAGAUACGUCGUGCUUUUCUUUGGAAGGGUGCUGAAGAAGUCGUUGGCAGUCAUUGUCCCGUUAAGUGGGAAAUGGUUUGCAGACCCAGAGAAGUCAUCGGUGGCCUUGGUGUGACUAGUUUGGUGGGCAUGAGCUUGGCCGUGAAAAUGAGGUGGGCUUGGACCGCCCGUGUGGAAAUUAACAAGCCAUGGAGAUAUUUGGGAGUCCUGCUUCCUAGCAUCAUAUUGGAGAAAUUUAAUGUUGCAGCCAUGGUGACUCUAGGAAAUGGUGAAAGCACAAUCUUUUGGUAUGAUGCUUGGUUAGACGGUGUUCAUAUUACCUCUAUUGCACCUGACAUAGUUGAAUCUAUCCCGAAGCACAUUAGAUCAAGGAGAGCGGUCGCUUCUACUAUGAUGGGAGGAUUUGGACUGCAGAUCAACGUGCGAAACAUGGGCUUCCACAUAAUGACUCAUGUGUUUUCUGCCACAACCAUUUUGAAGAUGUUGAUCACCUUCUUACUGGUUGUGCGGCCGUUAAUAUCCUUUGGAACAGAGUCUCAAACUAGCUCGGUCUUUUGGCGGUGGCUCCUUCAAUCGGCAGUACCUUCAUUGAAUGGUGGACCUUGGCAAGGGAGGCCACCUGAUGAUUCCGGCCGUCCGAUCUCGUGGUUUGCUUCUUCUUGGCCGUUCGAUCCAAUUUUGAGUCGAAGCUGGGGUAACUGUUCUGAGGGACGCUGCUCCGGUACAAAAGUCGGAAAUCUGGGGUUAAUUGGGCUUUCGACCGCACAAAGCCCAUGUACUGCUCGAUCUUUCUUCUCCCUUCCGUCACGUUCCACCGCUUGGUCUAUCUCAUGUCCCCUAUCUCGUAGCGCCCCCUCCGCUCCCCGACCUCUCUCCUUGGGCACUCCUGACACUGCCGCCGGCAACCCCUCCCUUCCGCCCGAAGUCUCCACGCUCGCGUCCAUAUCCAAUGGGGGCGGCGCCGUCGACGCUGGUGCUGGGCAACGCAGGCGCUGUAUCGCUGGGGGUGGUAGAGCAGAUGUUCGCCAACUCGAGGUCCACAUCACACCUCCCCCUGGGGCUGCUCUGAUCGCUUCCGUUUCUGCCAUAUCGUUGUUGGUUGGCUGCCUCCUCGGGCUCACCACUUGUAUCUGCGUCACCACGUUCAACCGUGGGGCGAGUGCUUUAGCUGAUUGA